rnacentral:misc_RNA from 1 species
GAUGAAGAACGCAGCGAAGUGCGAUAAGUAAUGUGAAUUGCAGAAUUCCGUGAAUCAUCGAAUUUUUGAACGCAAAUUGCACUCUCUGGUAUUCCGGAGAGUAUGCCUGUUUGAGGGUCAGUCAAAUAAAAAUCGAUGUUGUUGUCACCGCGUCGGAAUUGAGUCGUCUUACCUUCGGUUAAGUGACUUAAAAUUUUUACGCGAAUUCGAAACGUAUUUAAUGUUUAUGUACGUUUGCGAUAUUUCAAUAUAUUAGGUGCGGUCAUUCCUAUGAUUCGCGUCUAUAAUUUUUCAUUUCUUGACCUCAAAUCAGGUAAGAGUACCCGCUGAACUUAAGCAUAUCAAUAAGCGGAGGA